rnacentral:rRNA from 1 species
AUGAAGCUCUUCACUGUCCUGUUUUCCUACGUCCUCCUUCUUGGCCUCUAUACACCACCAAGCCUGUCAGAUGGUCCACCUCUUCAAGAUGUGUGCCCUAUGGCACCUCAGGGUGAAAGGAAGCUGUUCAUGAACGGUUUCCUCUGCAAGCACCCUAGCACCAUACUGGCUUCUGAUUUCAAGACACUGCUUCUCAAUCAUGCCGGGAAACUAGAUAACAUUCUCCGGUCAUCGGUAUACAUCGUCACCACCGCAGAGUUCCCUGGCCUCAACACCCUUGGCAUGGCGUCCGAGAUGAUGUUUGUCCAUGAUGGCAGCGUGCUGGCCGGUUUCUUUGACACAACUGGUAAGCUGUUUCAGAAGAGACUGUGUGAGGGGGAUGUGUUCAUCUUUCCCCGUGGUUUGGUUCACUUCAUCAUGAACUAUGGUCUCCGUCUUGCGACGACGUUCUCAGUGCUCAACAGUCAGAACCCUGGUGUGGUUGGCAUCACCCAUGCAAUGUUUGCGCCAGAUUCAGAUGUAGUCGAGGGGCUGAUGGCCAGAAUGAUGAAGUCCAGAGAGAUGGAAAUCCCUAACAACAAGACUACCGAUUUUCCAUGGACUUACUAG